AUGGAGCACGGCCGCGGCUAUAAUGGAACUCCGACGACGACAUGGCCGCUGCAUUGCAGCUCCGGCGGCGUCGCGGGCGCUGCAUCGCACCUCCAGCGGCAUCAACGAGCACUGCAUCGCACCUCCGGCGGCGUCGCGGCCGCUGCAUCGCAGCUCCGGUGGCCUCGACGACCGCUGCAUAGCAGCUCCCCGUGCUCCGAUGCAGUGCUCGCCGUCGCUCCAGGUACUGCAUCUCAGCGCUCGCCGGCGGCUCCCCGUGCUCCGAUGCAGUGCUCGCUGUCGCUCCAGGUACUGCAUCUCAGCGCUCGCCGGCGGCUAGAUGCAGCGUUCGGCGCUGCUGUGGGGCGUUCGUGUAGUCUUGCCAUCACGGAUCGGGCGGCUCAAAAUACACUGUACCUGAGCGAAUGA
rnacentral:rRNA from 1 species